rnacentral:lncRNA from 1 species
AAAAAAAAAUUUUAUUAAACAAGGGUUACAGUGCCUUGGCGUCACCUACGAGUUGGGUACGUCAGAAAAAAAAAUUAUUAUUAAACAAGGGUUACAGUGCCUUGGCGUCACCUACGAGUUGGGUACGUCAGAAAAAAAAUUAUUAUUAUUAAACAAGGGUUACAGUGCCUUGGCGUCACCUACGAGUUGGGUACGUCAGAAAAAAAAUUAUUAUUAAACAAGGGUUACAGUGCCUUGGCGUUACCUGUAAGUCUUACGAGUUGGGUACGUCAGAAAAAGAAACAGCAGAAAAAGGCGAGAUUAUCAACACCGCCAGAAGAAGCUUAUACACAACCAAAGCAGGCGAUUCAUUAUAACGCCAAAUGACAACAGGCAUAAAGUUAUUCAUAAAUGAUAUAUAAUUAUAUUUAAAGAGCUAAAGACAUUGCAGGUGCAAAGUUAAAAAUUUUCAAAGGCGAGAUUAUUGUCAACACCAGACACAAAGUAUAGUGGAAGUACGACUCCGAGCAGCGCCAAUUCUUUUUAAAUUGCCAAGAAGUCACAAAAUAAGGCGUGCAAGCCCGGCAGUACGAAAAUCAACUACAACAAAGAAGGGCGAGUCAUAAUGACGCCGAAUCAUUUACGAUCGCCAAAAAGGCAACAGGCGAGAUUGUUGUCAACGCCAACGUAAAAAUGCAAAUACAACGGAAC